ACUGGCACAGAGGCAGGAACUGAUGGCUGGAGAACUGGCACAGAGGCAGGAACUGAUGCAGACAUGACUGCUGGCACGGGAGGAGGCAGCCUUCGGGGUGCAGGGCUGAACUGCAGGUACAGUGGACAACUGGGAGAUUGACCUUGAACUUGGUAGUAUAUGCUGUUGGUAUUUCAUCCUCAGAAUCCAUAUCUUCCCAUUCAUCCUCAGAAAUAUCUAUACAGUCACUCUCAUCCUCAUAACAGAAUUCCUCUUCCUCAUUCUGAACCGCUGGCUGGAAGGUGAUUUGGGGCAAAUUUUUUACAGGUUGUAAAAUAUGGACUUGUGUUACUCUGCUUUUUAAAGAACACUUCAAGAGGAAAAUUUGAUAAACUGAUGGCAACAUCAUUUAUUUGAUACAUUGUUUUUGAUACACUGUGUGGUUUGCUAUACUGUUUUGUAUAAGAUUGUGUCCACUGGGUGGUGCACAAGGGUAUAUAAAGGAAGUUGUUUGAGUGUCAGUUAGCUUGAUAAAAGGCCACACCUGCCCUGAAACGUUGCUAGAUUGCCCUAAGAUGUAUGCAAUAAAGGCAUUUUAAAUAAGAAA